CCUACGGGUGACUGCAGUGAGGAAUAUUGGUCAAUGGGCGAGCGCCUGAACCAGCCAAGUCGCGUGAGGGAAGACGGCCCUAUGGGUUGUAAACCUCUUUUGUCGGGGAGCAAAGAUGCCUCGUGAGACCAGAAGUGAGAGUACCCGAAGAAAAAGCAUCGGCUAACUCCGUGACAGCAGCCGCGGUAAUACGGAGGAUGCGAGCGUUAUCCGGAUUUAGUGGGUUUAAAGGGUGCGUAGGCGGACUGGAAAGUCAGCGGUAAAAUCGCGGGGCUCAACCUCGUUCCGCCGUUGAAACUGGCGGUCUUGAGUGGGCGAGAAGUAUGCGGAAUGCGUGGUGUAGCGGUGAAAUGCAUAGAUAUCACGCAGAACUCCGAUUGCGAAGGCAGCAUACCGGCGCCCGACUGACGCUGAGGCACGAAAGCGUGGGUAUCGAACAGGAUUAGAUACCCGUGUAGUC
rnacentral:rRNA from 1 species